CGCAUAUUAGGGAGAGAUUAGC
rnacentral:miRNA from 1 species